rnacentral:rRNA from 1 species
AUUGAACGCUGGCGGCAUGCCUUACACAUGCAAGUCGAACGGUAACAGGUCUUCGGAUGCUGACGAGUGGCGAACGGGUGAGUAAUACAUCGGAACGUGCCUAGUAGUGGGGGAUAACUACUCGAAAGAGUGGCUAAUACCGCAUGAGAUCUACGGAUGAAAGCAGGGGAUCGCAAGACCUUGUGCUACUAUAGCGGCCGAUGGCAGAUUAGGUAUUUGGUGGGAUAAAAGCUUACCAAGCCGACGAUCUGUAGCUGGUCUGAGGGGACGAUCAGCCACACUGGGACUGAGACACGGCCCAGACUCCUACGGGAGGCAGCAGUGGGGAAUUUUGGACAAUGGGCGCAAGCCUGAUCCAGCAAUGCCGCGUGCAGGAUGAAGGCCUUCGGGUUGUAAACUGCUUUUGUACGGAACGAAAAGCCCCGGGUUAAUACCCUGGGGUCAUGACGGUACCGUAAGAAUAAGCACCGGCUAACUACGUGCCAGCCGCCGCGGUAA